GAGAGAGAGAGAUAGAAAGAGAGAGAGAUAGAAAGAGAGAGAUAGACAGAGAGAGAGAGACAGAGAGAGAGAGACAGAGAGAGAGACAGAGAGAGAGAGUCAGAGGGAGAGAGAGAGAGUCAGAGGGAGAGAGAUAGAGUCAGAGGGAGAGAGAUAGAGUCAGAGGGAGAGAGAGAGAGGCAGAGAGAGAGAGAUAGAAAGAGAGAGAGAUAGAAAGAGAGAGAGAGAGAGCAGAGAGAGAGAGAGAGAGAGAGAGAGAGAGAGAGAGAGUCAGAGGGAGAGAGAGAGAGUCAGAGGGAGAGAGAGAGUCAGAGGGAGAGAGAGAGAGUCAGAGGGAGAGAGAUAGAAAGAGAGAGAGUCAGAGGGAGAGAGAGAGAGUCAGAGGGAGAGAGAGAGAGUCAGAGGGAGAGAGAUAGAAAGAGAGAGAGUCAGAGGGAGAGAGAGAGAGUCAGAGGGAGAGAGAGAGAGUCAGAGGGAGAGAGAGAGUCAGACGGAGAAGAGAGAUCAGAGGGGAGAGAGAGAGUCAGAGGGAGAGAGAGAGUCAGAGGGAGAGAGAGAGAGUCAGGGAGAGAGAGAGAGUCAGAGGGAGAGAGAGAGUCAGAGGGAGAGAGAGAGUCAGAGGGAGAGAGAGAGAGUCAGAUAGAGAG
ensembl:lncRNA